GAGUUUGAUCUUGGCUCAGGAUGAACGCUAGCGGGAGGCCUAACACAUGCAAGCCGAGCGGUAUUUAUUCUUCGGAAUAGAGAGAGCGGCGUACGGGUGCGGAACACGUGUGCAACCUGCCUUUAUCUGGGGGAUAGCCUUUCGAAAGGAAGAUUAAUACCCCAUAAUAUAUUGAUUGGCAUCAAUUAAUAUUGAAAACUCCGGUGGAUAGAGAUGGGCACGCGCAAGAUUAGAUAGUUGGUGAGGUAACGGCUCACCAAGUCAGUGAUCUUAGGGGCCUGAGAGGGUGAUCCCCACACUGGUACUGAGACACGGACCAGACUCCUACGGGAGGCAGCAGUGAGGAAUAUUGGACAAUGGGUGAGAGCCUGAUCCAGCCAUCCCGCGUGAAGGACGAC
rnacentral:rRNA from 1 species